UGGCGGGGGCCGGCUGUAAAAAAGCAGGCCCUGUGAUCUGGAGGGAUCACUACAUCAUCCGGCAGUCAGCCCUUUCCUCCCAGAGGACCUCGCGGUACGGUGACGCGUGAGAAGCGGAUCUGGGAGGAAAAUGACAAGUGGGUUUUGGCUCCCGUUUUGAUGAAGCAAAAUAAGUUAACUUUAAUAACAAGGAGGCACGCGUUUGUGUUCCGCGGCUUAGCCGCGUUCCCCAAAAGGACCAUCAAAAGCCAGUUCCUUCCACGGGGCGGAACGUCUGCAGCGAGGUAAAGGGAGGGUGGAAAACCUGCAGUUCUUGGACCUCCAAGACUGAUUUGAUCAGCCCUGCUAUUGGGUUUUUUAAAUGGACCCAUAGCGCCACCUGCUGUUGUGGAAGAGCAAAGUUAAGAUCCACUGGAAAUACACAACUAUGCCUACGUGGAAGGCCGCAUUUGCCUGAAAAAUGGUGUUAACAACAGAUAUUCAAGGUUAUAAGGAG